GGCCAAGCUACUAAGGGCGCGCGGUGGAUGCCUUGGUGUCAAGGGCCGAUGAAGGACGUGGCAAGGCUGCGAUAAGCCCCGGCAAGCUGCCAAGCAAGCUCAGCCGAGGAUUUCCGAAUGAGGCAACUCACCCGCCGUAAUGGGCGGGUAUCCCAGGCUGAACACAUAGGCCUGGAGAAGGCAACCGGGGGAACUGAAACAUCUAAGUACCCCGAGGAAAAGACAUUAUUCCCCUAGUAGCGGCGAGCGAACGGGGAGAAGCCCAAACCGUUAUCUCCUAAUGGCCUGCAGGCCUCUGAUUUGACGGUGUUGUAGGGCCUCGCGGUUUCCUCUGCAGAGGGAGCACAGAGUUACAAAGCGUACGUCUAGCUGAAGAUCCCUGGAAAGGGUAGCCAUAGCGGGUGAUAGCCCCGUAGGCGAAAGGCGGGACGCCUCUGGUGAGGUUCCUGAGUACUGCGGGACACGAGAAAUCCCGUGGGAAACCGGGAAGACCACUUCCCAAGGCUAAAUACCCUUGACGACCGAUAGUGAACGAGUACCGUGAGGGAAAGGUGAAAAGUACCCCGGAAGGGGAGUGAAAUAGACCUGAAACCGUGUGCCUACAAGCAGUCAGAGGUCGCCUUUUUGGUGACUGAUGGCGUGCCUAUUGAAGAAUGAGCCGGCGAGUUAAUCUGCGUUGCAAGGUUAAGCAAGGAGACUUGCGGAGCCAGAGCGAAAGCGAGUCUGAACAGGGCGUUCAGUAGCGUGGAUUAGACCCGAAACCGAGUGAGCUAACCAUGGCCAGGGUGAAGCGGGAGUAAUGUCUCGUGAAGGCCCGAACCGGGUAAUGUUGCAAAAUUAUCGGAUGAGCUGUGGUUAGAGGUGAAAUGCCAAGCGAACUCGGAGAUAGCUGGUUCUCCUCGAAAUGCCUUUAGGGGCAGCCUCAGCAAACUAUGCACCGGGGGUAGAGCUCUGGAUGGGCUAGGGCCCGAAAAGGGUACCAAACUCAACCAAACUGCGAAUACCGGUGUAUCAAGGCUGGGAGUGAGACUGCGGGGGAUAAGCUUCGUGGUCGAAAGGGAAACAGCCCAGACCGUCAGCUAAGGUCCCAAAGUGCAGGCUAAGUGUGAAAGGUUGUAGGACCGCAGAGACAGCCAGGAGGUUGGCUUAGAAGCAGCCACCCUUUAAAGAGUGCGUAACAGCUCACUGGUCGAGUGAUCCUGCGCCGAAGAUGUAACGGGGCUAAGCCUGCCACCGAAGCUACGGGUGGCCGCCUUCUGGCGGCCGCGGUAGAGGAGCGUUCUGUUCAGCAGCGAAGCGAUACCCGCGAGGGGUCGUGGAGCGGACAGAAGUGAGAAUGCCGGCAUGAGUAGCGUAAGGCCGAUGAGAAAUCGGCCCACCGUAUGCCCAAGGUUUCCUACGGAAGGUUAAUCCGCGUAGGGUUAGUCGGGCCUAAGCCGAGGACGAAAGUCGUAGGCGAUGGACAGCUGGUUAGUAUUCCAGCACCACCGGCAGGGCGUUUUAAGGCAAAGGGGUGACCCAGGAGGAUAGGUAGAGCGCACCUAUUGGACAUGGUGCGUCGCUGGUCCGUAGGCGUCUCGGGAUAGGAAAAUCCGUUCCGGGGUUAAGCGGAGGGAUCGGCGGAAGCGGCGACGUCAGUCAAAGCGAUUCUGCUGAGUCCACACUGGCAAGAAAAGCCUCGUUGCUAGCACUGCAGGUGCCCGUACCGCAAACCGACUCUGGUGGGCGCCGGUAAGUACCGGAAGGUGAUCGAGUGAUCCCUCGUUAAGGAACUAGGCAAGUUAAUACCGUAACUUCGGGAGAAGGUAUGCCCCUGGUCGUGACCGGCUUUACGUCGCGAGCGGCCGGGGGUCGCAGCGAGCAGGCCCAGGCGACUGUUUAACAAAAACACAGGUCUCUGCGAAAGCGAAAGCUGACGUAUAGGGGCUGACGCCUGCCCAGUGCCGGAAGGUUAAGGAGAGAGCUUCACGGUUUGAACCGAAGCCCCGGUGAACGGCGGUCGUAACUAUAACGAUCCUAAGGUAGCGAAAUUCCUUGUCAGGUAAGUUCUGACCCGCACGAAAGGCGUAACGAUCUGGGCGCUGUCUCAACGAGGGGCUCGGCGAAAUUGAAGUGUCAGUGAAGAUGCUGACUACGCGCAGCAGGACAAAAAGACCCCGUGGAGCUUUACUGCAAUUUGGCAUUGGAAGUGGACCAGGGAUGCGUAGGAUAGGUGGGAGGCUGUGAAGCCCCGGUUGCGGCCGGGGUGGAGCCAACCUUGAAAUACCACUCUUCUCUGGUUUGCUUUCUAACCCCUGAUCAAGCAGGGGGACCCUGCCUGAUGGGCAGUUUGACUGGGGCGGUCGCCUCCUAAAGAGUAACGGAGGCGCCCAAAGGUUCCCUCACGCUGGAUGGAAAUCAGCGGUUGAGUGCAUUGGCAUAAGGGAGCUUGACUGUAAGGCCAACAAGCCAAGCAGGGACGAAAGUCGGGCAAAGUGAUCCUACGGUUCCGUGUGGAAGGGCCGUGGCUUAACGGAUAAAAGCUACCCCGGGGAUAACAGGCUUAUAGUGCCCAAGAGUUCACAUCGACGGCACUGUUUGGCACCUCGAUGUCGGCUCGGCGCAUCCUGGGGCUGGAGUAGGUCCCAAGGGUUGGGCUGUUCGCCCAUUAAAGCGCUACG
rnacentral:rRNA from 1 species